GCUUUGCUGAUAAAGAUUUGGAUACAGCUUCGGUUGGAGUAAUAACAAAAUUCAGUGAACCAAUGAAUACAAAAAGAAAUGAUUCAAGUUUGAAUUUCAUUAAAGUAUUACCAUCAAAGAUCAGUAUCCUUCGUCGUAUGUUUCCUUGGAGCAAUUCAAACAUUUUAGAAUUGGUAUUACAGAGUUGUCAUGGAGACUUGGAUACUGCAAUAUAUCAGUUAAAACUUACAACUUUAAGACAACAGGAUUACACAGACAGUCAACGUAGUAGCAAAAAUAUUGACGUAUAUAUUUUACCCUUUGAUAACAAUCUAUUUACGGGAAAAGAUGGAGUCCAGGAGCAGUCUGACGGUGCUAUUAACGACUUAAGAUGUGGAGUUUUUACACGAUUUACCAACAUGUCUUUUAAAAAAGAAGAAUGUUUUGACAAUUCAAAUUUAAAUCACAGACCAGACUUGAAUUACUUAAAAACUGAAAAGCUUAAAUCGACAUCUAGUGAUUUGAAAUUUUCUAUUGCUUCAAUAAUUGGCG
rnacentral:lncRNA from 1 species